rnacentral:rRNA from 1 species
UCUGCCUAACACAUGCAAGUCGAACGGGUAGGGGCGAGGUUUCCUCGCCCCCGCCAGUGGCGGACGGGUAAGUAACGCGUGAGAAUCUGGCUUCAGGUCGGGGACAACAACUGGAAACGGUUGCUAAUACCGGAUGUGCCGAACGGUGAAAGAUUUAGUGCCUGCAGAUGAGCUCGCGUCUGAUUAGGUAGUUGGCGGGGUAAGAGCCCACCAAGGCGACGAUCAGUAGCUGGUCUGAGAGGAUGAGCAGCCACACUGGGACUGAGACACGGCCCAGACUCCUACGGGAGGCAGCAGUGGGGAAUUUUCCGCAAUGGGCGCAAGCCUGACGGAGCAAGACCGCGUGAGGGAGGAAGGCCUUUGGGUUGUAAACCUCUUUUAUUAAGGAAGAAGUUCUGACGGUACUUAAUGAAUAAGCAUCGGCUAACUCCGUGCCAGCCGCCGCGGUAAAAC